CUAUCGACGCAGCCGCCGCUGUGAGGAAGACCGAGGUAAAAGGGCCAAGCGGGAUAUAAAAGAGGAAGAAAUCAUGGAUUACAUGGUGAAGUAGGCGCAGAAGAAGGCUCUGAAGGUCGCUAAGAAACUCAAAGCAAACGAGGCUGGAUAUUCUAACGAUUCUAAUCCUUUUGGAGACUCUAAUUUGACUGAGAAGUUUGUAUGGAGGAAAAAGAUAGAACGUGAUAUUAUGCAAGGUGUACCUCUUGAUAUAUCCGUGAAGGCUGAAAAGAAGAGGGAAAGAGAAAAAAAUGG